UUUUCCUCCAAAGGGCAGCCGUGUUCUCGUCAAAAUAAAAGUGCUUAAUUUACGUGCAGGCCAUAGGUGAAUAGAGUAUGGAAGUCGACCGGAGGUUUGUCGUUUUUAAUAUUAGCAUUUGGACACUUCCUGGUUCUAAAGAAAAAAUCCCUCUGGACAAAUGAAUGGGUUUUUGCAAAAUCAGCGAAAAUGCUGUAUGUCAUAGAACGUGCCGCGUUUUGACAUAUCGACUCGUCAUUUGUUAAGAGUUAACAUUUGUACAAGAGGCUCGUUACGAACGAAAGGAAGCACCACUGAUCGUAGACUUCUUCAGCUCUAUUCUCAUCGACUGGCCAUCGGCACGUGCCUCCAUCUUCAUUGCACUGGAGAUGCCAAGGGCGCCCAACACAGCCUUCCCUGUCUUCAUGCCACGGGACAUUGGGAUCCGGCUCGCUCCAGACUUAGGAGAGAGGAUGUCUUGUACUGGUUGCUACAGGGAUAAGAGAAGAGAGAAGAUGGGACAGGAAUGGGAAAAGAGGUAACAGGGAUUUAAUGACAAGUUGAAAAUGGUCCACGGAUUUUAAAUUACCAAUGUGAAUUACCAGAUUAAGGUAAUAGAGUUACCAAAGUCGUGUAGUAUGCUGUGCAAUCAUGAAAAAACACAAAUAGUUAAGAUAUUAACUGGAAACAACUUCCUUAUGUGACUUCCGUUUUGUCAUUUGUAUUCCCCAGAUCUAAAGAACUUCUUGAAUAUUUUUCAAUACUGAGUGUAUAACCUUUUAAGUGAGAUUUGAACACUUGUGUAUUGUGAAAUUGGAAGUUUGGAGAGCUUUCCUUGUGAAGGCUGCACUGUAGUUUUGUUGUCUCUAUUGUUUCUAGAACGAUGCUCUGAUGUUGGUUAAAUGCUGGUUUAAGUUAUAAGAACUAACCAACUAAGAAAUAAUUCCUCAUUUUAGCUGUGAUGUUUUGUCAGAGACCUAUGCAUUCAAAAUGACAUUGUGA